CAGAAAAAAUAUAGAAAGGGGUUUAUCGAUAUUGCGAAAAUCAAGUGUGUGGAAAUAGUGAAGAAUGAUGGUGGUGUCAUUCCCUGUCAAAAUAAAUACCCGUUUCAGGUUGUGCAUGAUGCUAAUACACUUUACAUCUUUGCACCCAGCGCGCAAAGCAGAGACCGGUGGGUGAAGAAGUUAAAAGAAGAAAUCAAGAACAACAGUAAUAUCAUGAUUAAAUAUCAUCCUAACUUCUGGACAGAUGGAAGUUAUCAGUGUUGCAGACAAACUGAAAAAUUAGCACCUGGAUGUGAAAAAUACAAUCUCCUUGAGAGUAGCAUAAGAAAAGCACUACCUCCAGCUCCAGAAAUGAAGAAG